rnacentral:rRNA from 1 species
UACGGGGGGGGCAAGCGUUGUUCGGAAUUACUGGGCGUAAAGGGCUCGUAGGUGGCCAACUAAGUCAGACGUGAAAUCCCUCGGCUUAACCGGGGAACUGCGUCUGAUACUGGAUGGCUUGAGUUCGGGAGAGGGAUGCGGAAUUCCAGGUGUAGCGGUGAAAUGCGUAGAUAUCGAGAGGAACACCUGCGGCGAAGGCGGGUAGCUGGGCCGACACUGACGCUGAUGCGCGAAAGCCAGGGAGCGAACGGG